rnacentral:lncRNA from 1 species
AUGAUGAGCUUUGCUACCUUAUGUCUCUUGCGUUCAGUUUGAGGCCGACAGACGCGCUUUAAUCAUCACUCUGAACUCAUUUGGCACUGAACUGAGCAAAGAAGACAGGGAGACCCUCUUCCCCACCUGCGGCAAGCUCUAUCCGGAGGGACUGCGGCUGUUAGCCCAAGCCGAAGACUUCGAGCACAUGAAGAGAGUGGCAGAUAAUUACGGAGUUUACAAGCCUUUGUUUGACGCCGUAGGUGGCAGUGGGGGAAAGACACUG